UAUUUUAAUAGCUUAAAUAGAGCAUGAUAUUGAAGAUAUUAAGGAGGUUUAUUACUUUAGAAUAU
rnacentral:tRNA from 1 species